rnacentral:rRNA from 1 species
CCUACGGGGGGCAGCAGUGGGGAAUAUUGGACAAUGGGGGGAACCCUGAUCCAGCCAUGCCGCGUGUGUGAAGAAGGCCCUCGGGUUGUAAAGCACUUUCAGUGAGGAAGAACGCCUGGUGGUUAAUACCCAUCAGGAAAGACAUCACUCACAGAAGAAGCACCGGCUAACUCCGUGCCAGCAGCCGCGGUAAUACGGAGGGUGCGAGCGUUAAUCGGAAUUACUGGGCGUAAAGCGCGCGUAGGUGGCUUGAUAAGCCGGUUGUGAAAGCCCCGGGCUCAACCUGGGAACGGCAUCCGGAACUGUCAAGCUAGAGUGCAGGAGAGGAAGGUAGAAUUCCCGGUGUAGCGGUGAAAUGCGUAGAGAUCGGGAGGAAUACCAGUGGCGAAGGCGGCCUUCUGGACUGACACUGACACUGAGGCGCGAAAGCGUGGGUAGCAAACAGGAUUAGAUACCCUUGUAGUC